AGUUUAAUCGUUUUUACGAGAAACCGCGAACGGCUCAUUACAAUGGCCAUGAUUUACUUGAUCUUGAUAAAUCCUAAAUGGAUAACUGUGGAAAAUCUAGAGCUAAUACAUGCACUAAAGCUAUGUCCUUCGGAAUAGCGCAUUUAUUAGAACAAAACCAAGCGGCUUCGGCUGCUUUUUGGUGAUUCAGAAUAACUAAGCUGACCGCAUGGCCUUGUGCCGGCGGCGUGUCUUUCAAGUGUCCACUUUAUCAACUUGACGGGAGCAUAAUCGACUCCCGUGGUGGUGACGGAUAACGGAGGAUCAGGGUUCGACUCCGGAGAAGGGGCCUGAGAAAUGGCCACUACGUCUAAGGAUGGCAGCAGGCGCGCAAAUUACCCACUCUCGGCUCGAGGAGGUAGUGACGAGAAAUAACGAGAUCGUUCUCUUAUGAGGCCGGUCAUCGGAAUGGGUACAAUUUAAACCCUUUAACGAGUAUCAAGCAGAGGGCAAGUCUGGUGCCAGCAGCCGCGGUAAUUCCAGCUCUGCCAAUGCAUAGACUUAUUGCUGCGGUUAAAAAGCUCGUAGUUGGAUCUGUUUCGAUAUCCUGGAACCCUUUUUAGGUGUUUCUAGGUUUUAUCGAUUUUUCGUAAUGUUUCGGACUUGAAUUCUUAACGGAAUUCAUUUCUAGACAUUGCAGGUUUACUUUGAACAAAUCAGAGUGCUUCAAACAAGCGUUUUCGCUUGAAUGAUCGUGCAUGGAAUAAUAGAAAACGAUUUCGGUUCAGUUUUAUUGGUUUUACGGACUGAGAUAAUGGUUAACAGAGACAAACGGGGGCAUUUGUAUGGCCCCAUGAGAGUGAAUUCUCGAACCGUGGGCAGACAAACUACAGCGAAAGCAUUUGCCAAGAAUGUCUUCAUUAAUCAAGAACGAAAGUCAGAGGUUCGAAGGCGAUCAGAUACCGCCCUAGUUCUGACCGUAAACGAUGCCAACUAGCGAUCCGCCGAUGGAGAUUAUAUUGCCUUGGUGGGGAGCUUCCCGGAAACGAAAGUCUUCCGGUUCCGGGGGAAGUAUGGUUGCAAAGCUGAAACUUAAAGGAAUUGACGGAAGGGCACCACCAGGAGUGGAGCCUGCGGCUUAAUUUGACUCAACACGGGGAAACUCACCCGGCCCGGACACUGUGAGGAUUGACAGAUUGAUAGCUUUUUCAUGAUUCAGUGGAUGGUGGUGCAUGGCCGUUCUUAGUUCGUGGAGUGAUUUGUCUGGUUUAUUCCGAUAACGAGCGAGACUCUAACCUACUAAAUAGCUGAUACAUAUUUUUGUGUAUUCGGCUUCUUAGAGGGAUUUGCGGUGUUCAGCCGAAAGAAAUUGAGCAAUAACAGGUCUGUGAUGCCCUUAGAUGUCCGGGGCUGCACGCGCGCUACACUGGCAAAAUCAACGUGCUUGUCCUGCCCCGAAAGGGGUGGGUAAACCAUUGAAAAUUUGCCGUGAUUGGGAUCGGAAAUUGCAAUUAUUUUCCGUGAACGAGGAAUUCCAAGUAAGUGCGAGUCAUCAGCUCGCGUUGAUUACGUCCCUUCCCUUUGUACACACCGCCCGUCGCUGCCCGGGAGUGAGCCAUUUCGAGAAAUUUGGGGACCGUUGAUUUAAUUUUUUUAAAUUACUUUUGAUGGAAACCAAUUUAAUCGCAGUGGCUUGAACCGGGCAAAAGUCGUAACAAGGUAGCUGUAGGUGAACCUGCUGCUGGAUCAUUACUUUUAUGUGAUGUUCAUAUUUGAAAUUUCACACCUUUAGAUGUGUAACGGCUGUCGCUGGUGUCUAUGUGUUGCUGAUUCAGUUGUGAACGUCCGUGACUGAAUAUGAGGUGACAUGUUAGGAUCUUUUUUAAGAUCGUAAGACUUAAUGAGCCCUUUAUUGGGACGCCAGCACCCUUUUUUUCUUUAAAUUUUUUUAAAAAACGAAAAAUUCUAGCCUUACCGG
rnacentral:rRNA from 1 species